rnacentral:misc_RNA from 1 species
GAUGAAGAACGUAGCGAAAUGCGAUAAGUAGUGUGAAUUGCAGAAUUCAGUGAAUCAUCGAAUCUUUGAACGCACAUUGCGGCCAUAGGUAUUCCUUUGGCCAUGCCUGUUCGAGUGUCAUUUACACCCUCAAGCCUAGCUUGGUGUUGGGCGCCUGUCCCGCCGUUUUCGCGCGCGGACUCGCCUCAAAGUCAUUGGCGGCGGUCGUGCCGGCCCCCUCGCGCAGCACAUUUGCGCUUCUCGGAGGCCCGGCGGAUCCGCGCUCCAGCAAGACCUUUCACGACUUGACCUCGGAUCAGGUAGGGAUACCCGCUGAACUUAAGCAUAUCAAUAAGCGGAGGA